CAGCAUGUCAUCGUGGGAGGCAGAUUCAAUGGUCCACCUGGAGUCUCAGGUAGAGAAAUCAAACACGGAUCUCUUUACACAGGCGGGGAGCCCUAUCAACGGACACCAGAAACCUCCUUGAGGACAGAAAGCCUGGAGCCUGCACUCGUCUUCUCUUUCCCCUUCCCACCUUCUGAAGACCAGAAGAUGACUACUACAUGUUUGUGUGCGUGGUUCUGAAUUUGUGGAUUACAUCCAAGUCUUUGUCAAACAACACUUGGAAUAACACAAACCUGUGAAACCAAAACAUUUCAAGUUUUUUCUUCCAGCAUUGCUUCGACUGUCUGUAAAAAGAAUCUGCUUCAUGAUAGAUGACUGAAUUAAACGACUUGUACCACGUC